rnacentral:rRNA from 1 species
CCGUACGAGCGCACCCCUAUCCCUAGUUGCUAGCAGUUCGGGCUGAGAACUCUAGGGAGACUGCCGGUGACAAACCGGAGGAAGGUGGGGAUGACGUCAGGUCAUCAUGGCCCUUACGGCCAGGGCUACACACGUGCUACAAUGGUGCGCACAGAGGGCUGCAAACCCGCGAGGGGGAGCUAAUCUCACAAAACGCAUCGUAGUCCGGAUCGGAGUCUGCAACUCGACUCCGUGAAGUCGGAAUCGCUAGUAAUCGUGAAUCAGAAUGUCACGGUGAAUACGUUCCCGGGCCUUGUACACACCGCCCGUCACACCAUGGGAGUGGAUUGCACCAGAAGUAGUUAGUCUAACCUUCGGGAGGACGAUUACCACGGUGUGGUACAUGACUGGGGUGAAGUCGUAACAAGGUAGCCGUAGGGGAACCUGCGGCUGGAUCACCUCCUU